rnacentral:rRNA from 1 species
GUGUCAGCCGCCGCGGUAAGACGUAGGGGGCGAGCGUUGUCCGGAUUUAUUGGGCGUAAAGAGCUCGUAGGCGGUUUGGCAAGUCGGAUGUGAAAACUCCAGGCUCAACCUGGAGACGCCAUUCGAUACUGCUAUGACUUGAGUCCGGUAGGGGCGCAUGGAAUUCCCGGUGUAGCGGUGAAAUGCUUAGAUAUCGGGAGGAACACCAGUGGCGAAGGCGGUGCGCUGGGCCGGAACUGACGCUGAGGAGCGAAAGCGUGGGUAGCAAACAGGAUUAGAAACCCCAGUAGUCC